GCAUUGGUGGUUCAGUGGUAGAAUUCUCGCCUGCCACGUGGGACACCCGGGUCCGAUUCCCGGCCAAUGCA
rfam:Danio rerio chromosome 4, GRCz11 reference primary assembly.